rnacentral:rRNA from 1 species
UACAUAGGUGGCGAGCGUUGUCCGGAAUUACUGGGUGUAAAGGGCGUGUAGGCGGGAAUACGAGUCAGAUGUGAAAUUCCGGGGCUCAACCCCGGCGCUGCAUCUGAAACUGUGUUUCUUGAGUGCUGGAGAGGAAAGCGGAAUUCCUGGUGUAGCGGUGGAAUGCGCAGAUAUCAGGAGGAACACCAAUAGCGAAGGCAGCUCGCUGGGACGGUAUUGACGCUGAGGCGCGAAAGCGUGGGGAGCAAACAGG